AGGUGAGACACUUGGGGGGAUACAAUUCGAAUGGGAAUGGGUUGGGCGCAGUGCCCUCGGCUGAGCGAAUCAAGUGGCAAAUGCCAAAUGGCAUCCUGACCUGACCCAGCAGGAACAGGAGCAUCAGCAACAGAAGCCAACUCAGUGGAUGAACUCGACGACUGGCGGCAAAUGGCACACUAUGCACUAUGCACUAUGCACCAUUUGCACUGUGAUACGGGAAUGGAAAACUAACGAGAGGAAAUUGUGUUUCAGAAAUGCAAUGAAAAAUUAUUGUGGAGCAGUGAAGCGGGCACGGAUAUUUGUCGCAAGUUGCUACAAAAAAAUCAGAUGAAUGUGCAUCAAGUCGGGUAGAAAGGAACUGUGCACGUCCACAAUACCUUAUCAAAUAAAUGGCAAUAAAUGUGUUUCGUAUAAAAUGUGAAACUCAAUGGUGUGAAACGCAUCAAUAAAUGGCCUUUAUUUAAAUAGUUAUGUCAAUUUACACACUAUUUUAUAUUUCCAUCCAAAAAUAUAGUUGCUUUGAGUUUCAUUCUAAUUGACUCACAUCAAGAUAGCCAACAACAUUGCCCUGUGUAGUUGAACUUGAUACUCAGACCUUGUCUCAAAAUGUGAUUACCUUAGUAAGCUCGCUGGAAACAAAGACUUUUACGAUUAUCUUAAUAGCCAGAUCCUAGACUUCAGACUCUAAGCAAAUAAAAUAAAUUGCUUGGAAUAGUAAAUUGUCUACUGAAUUUUUAACCACUGUUCAUUGUGCGAUUUGUAUCAUUAGGAAGCCCCCCAAACAAACCAGGACAUUCUGGGCAGCUGGUGGCAGGCUGGAAGAGGAGUUGAGUUGGGAAAAGCCGACGGCGGAAUAUGUACAUAUUUAAAGUGUCGGGCAACUAAGGAUUUCAACUUUAUUAAAAAAGGAAGAAGGCGGCCCGAUGGCCAUGGGAUAUGGAGAUGGCUGGUGAAGGGUGGCAAUGGUGGCGAUGGUGACCCCGACAGAGCCUGCCGCUUAACUAGACAGCACUUUCAGUUUACGUAACCACUAAAAAUGGCGCCCAAUGUGCUCUCCGUUUUCCGUUUGCCGUGUGCCUCUGUUUUACUCGGAAUGGAGGAGAAGUUCUAUAUUGUUUGCUUACUUGCUCAACACGCGCCCUAUGUCCGCCGCUCCUGAUGAUGAUGAGCGGUGGAAUGGCCGGAGGAUUGGCAGGAUGAGCGCCCCUGGCGCGCCGCCUUCAUUGUCCUUCCUGAUUUGCCUGCUGCCGCCUCGACUUGGCUGCCUCACCGAAAUAAUGAAACUUUUCCCGUUUGUCUGUUGCUUUUAUUGCAGUUUAUUGUUAAUGCUGUUCUACUUGUUGUUAUUGUUGCUUUUUUUGUUGGUUGAUAACAGCUCAAACUUUUUAACACG